rnacentral:rRNA from 1 species
UACGUAGGGGGCUAGCGUUGUCCGGAUUUAUUGGGCGUAAAGAGCGUGUAGGCGGCCAGGUAGGUCUGGUGUGAAAACUCGAGGCUUAACCUCGAGAUGUCAUCGGAAACCAUCUGGCUAGAGUCCGGAAGAGGAGAGUGGAAUUCCUGGUGUAGCGGUGAAAUGCGCAGAUAUCAGGAAGAACACCAAUGGCGAAAGCAGCUCUCUGGGACGGUACUGACGCUGAGAAGCGAAAGCAUGGGGAGCGAACAGG